GACAGAGGGUGCAAACGUUGUUCGGAAUUACUGGGCGUAAAGGGCGCGUAGGCGGAUAUCUAAGUCGGGGGUGAAAGCCCAGGGCUCAACCCUGGAAUUGCCUUCGAUACUGGAUAUCUUGAGUACGGGAGAGGUGAGUGGAACUCCGAGUGUAGAGGUGAAAUUCGUAGAUAUUCGGAAGAACACCAGUGGCGAAGGCGACUCACUGGCCCGUUACUGACGCUGAGGCGCGAAAGCGUGGGGAGCAAACAGG
rnacentral:rRNA from 1 species